AUGUUGGAAGCUAGUGCUCACAUCAGCUUCCCUGAGUUGGUUCUUUCAUUUGUUUUGCUCAUUGUUUUUUUUUUUGGUUGCUUUUUUUUCAGGAAGCGUCAGGAACCCAGGAACCCAGGACCUCCCGUGUGGGAAUCGGGCGCUCAACUGCUUGAGCUACACCUGCUCCCUGAGCCACAUCCACUCCCAAGUCCGUUUUUUCCCUGGGAUUCUCUGCCCAGCAUGCACAGGAGGCACCGGGGACUGAACCCAGGACUGCCCCUGUGGGAAGCAGGCGCCCAACCCCUUGAGCCACAUCUGCCUAAACCUUGUCAGCCCUCAGGUUGGACCCCAUCAUGGCUUCCACCGGGUGUGACACUUACCUGCGUUUCCUGCCACCCACCAGGCGCUGCACUGCCGAGGCUCUGCCUGACCUGGUUCUCUCGGCCCGGGUGCCCCACGGCACCACGAUCACCUCAGCCUGGUGCUGCCACCCCCUCCCCGGCACCCCGUGCCCUGGCCACCCCCGCCUUCGAUGGCUUCCCUGAGCCUAGCCGAGCCUGGUCCUGCCUCGAGCUGGUGUGUGCUGUCCCCUUCAGCAGGCUCGCUUCUCCUCCCGGCCUCUCCGCAUCAUUUCCACUCAUCCUUCAUUUCUCAGGUCAAAAGUCACGUCCUCAGAGAGGCUCUCCCUGACCCUUCUGCCUAAACCAGGUUCCCAGUAUUAUUCCUCAUUGUACCUGCUUUUCCUUUUUCCUUGCCAUGUAAUGCCCCCAGGAAACCUGUGAAGGGGGCUCCUUUGUGGGCUUCGUUUACAGGGUACACUAGGCACUGGGCGCUGUGCCUCAGUAAACAUGCGGGACAAAGAAUGUCCGUGAGGGAUUGCUAGUGAAAAAGGCAAAUGGCAAACCACAUAUAGUACAAUGGCAUGUAUAGUAGAAUAGUGUUAAAAUCAUAAAUCAUGUAAUGCAGUACUAUAUAAUACAUGUGUUUAGGUUUAAAACUCCAGAAGGUUCUAGGACAAACUCUUGCCCGUGCCUAUGUCUGGAUGGUGGAAUUACAGGUGGUUUAAAAUGUUCACCUUAUUUUCUAAAUGUUUAACCAUUGAUAUUGUUCCCAUAAAAAUUUUUAAAAAGUCAUAUUUAAUUCUAAUUGUAAGACUCAGCCCACUUUGUGAAGUCCUUUCUCGGGGCUUCGCCUGCAGGCCACCUGCACAGCGGAAUCUGAGGUGUUCUCUCCCCCGCAGCACUCGGGCCACCUGUCGCAUAACAUGUGCCGUCACCUGUUUGGGGAUUCUCUCUCCCACUUGGCUGCGCCCUGCUGCCUUUUAAGGCACCCAGAAUGUCUUCUUGCAGUUGUGAUUUUAACUAGUUCAUUUUACAUACAAUUUCCAAUCCACUGCCUGUUCAUUUGUUUCCACUAGUAUUGGAGCAUAUGCCUAACAAGCUAGUUCAGCCCUUUUAAUAUAGUCGGUACCUAAGAAAGAGGUGCCACAUGAGUGAAUACAAGGACAUAGGAAUUCAAAUCAGGAGUGUCUCACAAAAUCCAAAUCCCCCCUUGAUCACACUUCCCUCAGAUGCUCCUCACCUAACACAGACACCGUGCCCGGCAGUGAGGCACACAUCGCCCAAAGCUCAGAGAGGACUUUCCGACUACUUGUCUCUGAGAAAUCUCCUUUGCUGCAAAAGUCUGAAUUGUGCCCACCUGUGCUGUUGAGAAUGUGAAUGUUCUCACAAAUAUGAAAACGGAAAGUAGUUAAGCACCUACAUUUGUUUCAUGCAUUAUUUUAAUUUAAAAAAUAUAUGAUACCCUGAGAAAGUCUAUUUCUCCUUUGGACUUCUAUUCCCAAAAGAUAAUAAAAUAGCAAGAGCAAAGGUUCUCCAGCAAGAGCGUGCAGCAGAAUCUCUUGGAGGGCUUGUGAAAACGCACAGUGCUGCCCCCCCCCCCCAAAAAAAAGCAGAGCUUCCCUAGAAGCUGCAUUUCUAACAGAUUCCCGGGUCAAUCUCAUGCUGCUGCACCUGCACCCCACUUGAGAAUUCGUGAACCAGAGGACUCCGUCUGGGUU
rnacentral:lncRNA from 1 species